UACGGAGGGUGCGAGCGUUGUCCGGAAUCAUUGGGCGUAAAGGGCGCGUAGGUGGCCCGGUCAGUCAGUGGUGAAAGCGCGGGGCUCAACUCCGCGUCGGCCAUUGAUACUGCUGGGCUGGAGCACUGUAGAGGCAGGCGGAAUUCCGGGUGUAGCGGUGGAAUGCGUAGAGAUCCGGAAGAACGCCGGUGGCGAAGGCGGCCUGCUGGGCAGUUGCUGACACUGAGGCGCGACAGCGUGGGGAGCAAACAGG
rnacentral:rRNA from 1 species